GGCACAAGGGUUAGCUCAGAGGCAGAGCACCAGAUUUCAUCUGGAAGUCACAGGUUCGACUCCUGUACCACCGCCG
rnacentral:tRNA from 1 species